UGCUUGCGUUAGGGUUUGAAGCGGCAUCCUUUUUAUAGCUUACAUAAAUUAGCGCCAUUGCGAGGGACGAAGCAAUCUGUUUAUUAAUUAUAAGAUUGCCACAGUUUACAAAACAGUAAACUUCGCAAUGACAGCUAUAAAAAGAUAUAGCGUAAAGCGCGACCUUUA
rnacentral:sRNA from 1 species